rnacentral:rRNA from 1 species
UCCGGUUGAUCCUGCCGGAGGUUACUGCUAUCAGAAUUCGGCUAAGCCAUGCAAGUCUCGGGUUAAACCGGGGCGAAAAGCUCAGUAACACGUAGCUAACCUGCCCUUGGGUCUGGAAUAAUCCCGGGAAACUGGGGCUAAAGCUAGAUAGAUAUGGUAUGCUGGAAUGCUUCCAUAUUGAAGCCAAGGAUGGGGCUGCGGCCGAUUAGGUUGUUGCCAGAGUAAAAUCCUGACAAGCCUGUAAUCGGUACGGGCCUUGAGAGAGGAAGCCCGGAGAUGGAUUCUGAGACAAGAAUCCAGGUCCUACGGGACGCAGCAGGCGCGAAACUUUCGCAAUGCACGCAAGUGUGACGAAGGAAUUCAGAGUGCUUUCUCUUUUAGAGGAAGCUUUUGCCAAGUCCAAAAAGCUUGGCGAAUAAGUGGUGGGUAAGACAGGUGCCAGCCGCCGCGGUAAUACCUGCGCCACGAGUGGUAACCACGUUUAUUGGGUUUAAAGCGUUCGUAGCCGGCUUGGAAAGUUUCUAAUGAAAUCCCGCAGCUGACUGCGGGGCUUGUUAGAAAUACUUCAGGCUUGGAACCGGGAGAGGUCGAGGGUAUUAUUGGGGUAGGGGUAAAAUCCUAUAAUCCCAAUAAGACCACCUGUGGCGAAGGCGCUCGACUAGAACGGAUUCGACGGUGAGGGACGAAAGCCAGGGGAGCAAAGCGGAUUAGAUACCCGCGUAGUCCUGGCUGUAAACGAUACUCACUAGACAUUGGAUGUCUUACGGGGGCAUCCAGAGUCGUAGGGAAACCAUUAAGUGAGUCACCUGGGGAGUACGGUCGCAAGGCUGAAACUUAAGGGAAUUGGCGGGGGAGCACACAAGGGGUGGAGGCUGCGGUUUAAUUCGACUCAACGCGAGGAACCUUACCAGGGGCGACAGCAGAAUGAAGGUCAGGCUCACGACCUUACCAGACACGCUGAGCGGUGCUGCAUGGCCGUCGUCAGUUCGUGCCGUGAGGUGUCACGUUAAGUCGUGUAACGAACAAGACCCGUGCCCUAUGUUACGACGGGGUCAAUCUGAUUCCGGUACUCAUAGGGGACCGCUGCUGAUAAAGCAGAGGAAGGUGCGGUCGACGGCAGGUCAGUAUGGUCCUAAUCCUCUGGGUUACACGCGGCCUACAAUGGUUGGUACAAUGGGAUGCCACUCCGAAAGAAGGAGCCAAUCCCCAAAACCAAUCCCAGUCCAGAUCGAGGGUUGCAACUCACCCUCGUGAAGCCGAAAUCCCUAGUAGUCGCUGGUCAUCAUCUAGCGGCGAAUAAGUUCCUGCUCCUUGCACACACUGCCCGUCAAGCCAACCGAGUGGAUUUUUGGCGAGCUUCUACUUUUUAGUAGAAUCAAGCCACAGAUCUGCAAGGUGGGCUAAGUCGUAACAAGGUA